rnacentral:RNase_P_RNA from 2 species
CGGAGCGGGCGCAUGAUCGCUCCGGUUUUUUUGCCGGAGAGGAAAGUCCGAACUCUACAGGGCAGGGUGGUUCGUAACGCGAACGCCGGGCGACCGGGGGAAAGUGCCACAGAAAACAAACCGCCUGAUUCUCAUCAGGUAAGGGUGAAACGGCGAGGUAAGAGCUCACCGCUUUCAUGGCGACAUGAAAGGCACGGCAAACCCCACCCAGAGCAAGACCAAAUAGGGAGAUGUUUGAGGGCGGCCCGUCCGAGAUCUCCGGGUAGGUUGCAAGAGGUGUUGAGCGAUCAACAUCCCAGUCAAAUGAUCAUGGCCCCUUAGGGGGUACAGAAUUCGGCUUAUAACCCGCUCCGUUUU